rnacentral:lncRNA from 1 species
CCCACAACCUUCAGAUGCUACGGGGGACGUCCUUCGGCGUCUUGAAGCCAUGGAUUUGCGCAUGAGCCGAUGGCAGGAGGGCAUGCAAGUACAGAUGAAUCAUUUACAAUCCACCAUCUUUGACCAAUUUCAAUACCAGAAUGCUUGCAUGGCGGUUAUGGCAUCUGCACAUCCCGAGCUCACCUUCCCUCCACCGCCGUCACUUCUACAUCAUUCUCACCCUCCUGCUCCACCUGAUGAAGAGGAAGACGAUUGAUGUCUUCACUGAGAUAUCUCUCUUCCCCUUCUUCCAUUUUAACGUUGGGGGCAAUGUGUAGUUUAAGUUUGGGGGGAGUAUCUUAAAUUUUCUAAAAUCUAAAAUUGCCUAUUUUAUUUAUUUAUUUUGUACGAUUGUGUGCAUCUAAAAAAAAAAAAUUCGUGUUUUGCAUGUUUGUGUGAGUUAGAUAGCCUUGCUGGCAAUGAUGUAUAAUAUUAAGAACAUGUAUUGGUUCAUGAAUUAUGGAUAAGUUACUUGUGUGAGUUAGAUUUUUGCUUAUUCGUGUGAAACGGAAAUUAUUUUUGCACGUGGGUUGAUUGUAGCGUUGUAUAUGAGUAGGUUGAUCUAUGUUUAUAGGUUGAAUAAGAGAACUUAGAUGCUAAACCCAAACAACCUUUAAACACUAUUAUACCCUUAAACCAAAUAUAGGUUGUUUGGUAGGUUAAGCUGUUGCAGGAAAACUUGGAGAUAAAUGUGGAUUCCAUGUGUGCUAAAUUUUGUGUGGAUUGUCUGAGACUAAUAGGAUGAAAAUUGGGUGAAAGCUUUAAGUUAGAGGUCGAUUUUCGAGAAUAGGUGUUUAAUAAGGGACAUUGCACUUAUCAUUGCAUAAAAAAAAAGAUCCCAAUGAGGACAACUUUAAUAAUCUCAUUGUGAAUCAUGUCUUCGUAACUUUUAUGACUCGAGUAAUUAAGCUUGUAAGGGUUUAAAACCUGGUGCCCUAAAGUCGUCUGAUUUGGGAGUCAUCGGCCUAAAGCUCGUUACAAGGGUCAUUUAGAAAGCUUGAGGGAGUGACGUCCAC